rnacentral:rRNA from 1 species
AACGAACGCUGGCGGCGUGUUUAAGACAUGCAAGUCGUACGGGGAAUCCAUGAAGCUUGCUUUGAGGGUUCCUAGUGGCGCACGGGUGAGUAACACGUGAGUUACAUGCCCCGCAGAGGGGGAUAGCCCGCCGAAAGGCGGAUUAAUACCCCAUGGUAUCCCGCGUAUGCGGGAUUAAAGAGGGCUUCGGCUCUCGCUGCGGGAUUGGCUCGCGUCCUAUCAGCUUGUUGGUGAGGUAACGGCUUACCAAGGCGACGACGGGUAGCUGGUCUGAGAGGACGAUCAGUCACACUGGAACUGAGACACGGUCCAGACACCUACGGGUGCAGCAGUCGAGAAUAUUCACAAUGGACGAAAGUCUGAUGGUGCAACGCCGCGUGGAGGAUGACGGUCUUCGGACUGUAACUCCUGUCAUCGGGAGUAAGACCUGGGGGUUAAUAGCUCACAGGGUUGAUAGUACCCGAAGAGGAAGGGACGGC